rnacentral:rRNA from 1 species
AAUUCGAUUGAGUUUGAUCCUGGCUCAGAACGAACGCUGGCGGCGCGCUUAACACAUGCAAGUCGAACGAGAAGCUGUAGCAAUACAGUUGUAAAGUGGCAAACGGGUGAGUAAUGCGUGGGUAAUCUACCCUCGGGUGGGGAAUAACUCCUCGAAAGGGGAGCUAAUGCCGACUAUUCGCAACGGUUUCGCAAGGUACCGUUGGAAAGCCGUACCGUGGGUGCGGCGCCCGAAGAUGAGCUCACGUCCUAUCAGCUUGUUGGUGAGGUAAUGGCUCACCAAGGCUCCGACGGGUAGCUGGUCUGAGAGGACGACCAGCCACACUGGCACUGCGACACGGGCCAGACUCCUACGGGAGGCAGCAGUGAGGAAUAUUGCGCAAUG